GGGUCAGUAGGUGGUUCGUGCCACCGGUACGUACUGGUCUCACUGAUUCCUCCUUCCUGAAGAACCGUAAUGCCAUUAAUUUGGUGUUGCGGGGAAACAGGACUGUUACUUUGAAAAAAUUAGAGUAUUUAAAGCAAGCUAACGCUUGAAUACAUUAGCAUGGAAUAAUGAAAUAGGACGAUCGAUCCUAUUUUGUUGGUUUCUAGGAUUGACGUA
rnacentral:rRNA from 1 species